GCAUGGAUUUGGAUUUAUGGUGGGUCCCAAUCCAUGGGCUUUCCAUAGUGUACCCCAUGCUACAUUAACCUGCCUCCCCGAACCAUUGGCUGGCCUGGCUUGCUGUAGUGCCAGCCACUGAUGUGGGUGGCACAUGU
ensembl:snoRNA small nucleolar RNA SNORA42/SNORA80 family